AAAAUUGUAUGCAUAGAUCUGUUUUAUUUUAUAUUGCUGCUGUCAGGAGCAACAGUUACCAAGUCCUGUUGAGAAUACAUCCUUGCAAUCAGCACUGGUGAUGGCAGAAAUUCCUUUCUGAACAUGCACAUGUGAAGAGGAGCCAUCAGACAAAAGGGCAAGAGUAGAAACAAAAUCCAUUUCAAAAUGCAGAGAAAAGAAAUGAACAGCAACAACAACAAUGACAAAAAAAGCCAAAAGCUGUUCUCUGCAAAGGCUGUCUUUCACUGCGAAUUAUGAAGAUGGAAGGUAUGUAACAUAAUGAUCUAGCUUUGAAGUAUUCUAGACUUAAUGAUUCAUU
rnacentral:lncRNA from 1 species